UGUUGAGUUGAUGAUGGUUUUUAAUAUUAAUGAGAAUCUCUCAGAAAGAGAAUGAAGUUGAAUUUUUAACUGAAACAAUA
ensembl:snoRNA SNORD79 Small nucleolar RNA SNORD79